UUCCUGGUGGUCUAGUGGUUAGGAUUCAGCGCUUUCACUGCUGUGGAUCUGGGUUCCGUCCCUGGUCAGGGAA
rnacentral:tRNA from 1 species